rnacentral:snRNA from 1 species
AUACUUACCUGGUAGGGGAAAUACCAUGAUCAGGGAGAUGGUUUUCCCAGGAUGAGGCUCAUCCAUUGCACUGUGGGUGUGCUGACCCCUGUGAUUUCCUCAAAUGCGGGAACUUCAACUGCAUGAUUUGUGGUAGUGGGGGACUGCGUCCACGCUCUCCCCUG